CUCCUCAGACAGGUGGGAAGCUUGUCACUCUCUAAAGCAGGGCCCCCAGUAACCCCAAGAGCGCACAGAGGGGAGCUUGGCCUGCUCUGUGCUCUCAGCCCAGUGAAACAACCUCUCUUGGGUUGGCUCGGCCCCUUUAGGACAGAGCUAUAAGCAGGGGGAGCCACUGAGUGAGCAAGAGAUUUGCAUGAAGGGGCCGUUCUUCAGCUCUGGGGAUUUAAGAGAGAAUCGGAGGGUUCCUGGAAGAGAGACGUGAUCCUCUGGAUUCCCACCAUGGCCUGGGCCCCUCUGCUCCUCGCGCUGCUCACUUACUGCAUUGGUUUCAGUUCCCAGCAACUCCAGUCGCUGAAGGCGUCCGAGUUCGUGUCUCCUGGAGGGACCGUGACCCUCUCCUGCAGCCUGAGCAGUGGGGCCAUCGCUGAUAACAACCACCCACUCUGGGUUCAACAGAGACUGGGGAAUGUUCCUCGGCUGAUCAUGCACAGCACGAGUACCAGGCCCUCGGGGAUCCCAGAGCGUUUCACUGGCUCCAGAUCGGGUAACACCAUGUCCUUGACCAUCAAGGGGGCCCUGGCGGAGGAUGAUGCUGAUUAUUACUGUUGUGUGUGGGCUGGGAGUGCUCAUCACAGUGAUACAGUCAGAUGGGGAAGUGAUACAAAAACCUCCCUCCCCCCUGUGCCCUGCUGGGAGCUGUGGUGGCCGCAGAGCCCAGGGUAUAAGUGA